rnacentral:rRNA from 1 species
UACGUAGGGCGCAAGCGUUGUCCGGAAUCAUUGGGCGUAAAGCGCGCGUAGGUGGCCCCAUAAGUCCGCUGUGAAAGUCAAAGGCUCAACCUUUGAAAGCCGGUGGAUACUGUGGGACUAGAGUACGGAAGAGGCGAGUGGAAUUCCUGGUGUAGCGGUGAAAUGCGCAGAUAUCAGGAGGAACACCGAUGGCGAAGGCAGCUCGCUGGGACGGUACUGACGCUGAGACGCGAAAGCGUGGGGAGCAAACAGG